AGAGUUUGAUCCUGGCUCAGGAUGAACGCUAGCGGCAGGCCUAACACAUGCAAGUCGAGGGGCAUCGGGAUUGAAGCUUGCUUCAAUUGCCGGCGACCGGCGCACGGGUGCGUAACGCGUAUGUAACCUACCUAUAACAGGGGCAUAACACUGAGAAAUUGGUACUAAUUCCCCAUAAUAUUCGGAGAGGCAUCUCUCCGGGUUGAAAACUCCGGUGGUUAUAGAUGGACAUGCGUUGUAUUAGCUAGUUGGUGAGGUAACGGCUCACCAAGGCAACGAUACAUAGGGGGACUGAGAGGUUAACCCCCCACACUGGUACUGAGACACGGACCAGACUCCUACGGGAGGCAGCAGUGAGGAAUAUUGGUCAAUGGACGCAAGUCUGAACCAGCCAUGCCGCGUGCAGGAAGACGGCUCUAUGAGUUGUAAACUGCUUUUGUACGAGGGUAAACUCACCUACGUGUAGGUGACUGAAAGUAUCGUACGAAUAAGGAUCGGCUAACUCCGUGCCAGCAGCCGCGGUAAUACGGAGGAUUCAAGCGUUAUCCGGAUUUAUUGGGUUUAAAGGGUGCGUAGGCGGUUUGAUAAGUUAGAGGUGAAAUCCCGGGGCUUAACUCCGGAACUGCCUCUAAUACUGUUAGACUAGAGAGUAGUUGCGGUAGGCGGAAUGUAUGGUGUAGCGGUGAAAUGCUUAGAGAUCAUACAGAACACCGAUUGCGAAGGCAGCUUACCAAACUAUAUCUGACGUUGAGGCACGAAAGCGUGGGGAGCAAACAGGAUUAGAUACCCUGGUAGUCCACGCAGUAAACGAUGAUAACUCGUUGUCGGCGAUACACAGUCGGUGACUAAGCGAAAGCGAUAAGUUAUCCACCUGGGGAGUACGUUCGCAAGAAUGAAACUCAAAGGAAUUGACGGGGGCCCGCACAAGCGGAGGAACAUGUG
rnacentral:rRNA from 3 species